rnacentral:rRNA from 1 species
UACGUAGGGUGCGAGCGUUAAUCGGAAUUACUGGGCGUAAAGCGUGCGCAGGCGGUUUUGUAAGCCGGAUGUGAAAUCCCCGGGCUUAACCUGGGAAUGGCAUUCGGGACUGCAAGGCUGGAGUGCGGCAGAGGAGACUGGAGUUCCUGGUGUAGCAGUGAAAUGCGUAGAUAUCAGGAGGAACACCGAUGGCGAAGGCAGGUCUCUGGGCUGACAUUGACGCUCAUGCACGAAAGCGUGGGGAGCAAACAGG